AAAUGAUGCUUUCUUUUAUUAUUAUAACAUAUUGAUUUAUUGAUGAAGUGACAUACAAAGACAUCAACUGGCUCUCACAAUUCUGUGGAAAAAGGAAAUAAGAAAGGAAACACUCGUUACAUCAAUUGGAAGCCACACCACACACUCAAAGUGAUUGAAUAACACUCCACACAAGGCAAGAAAACUCUUGUAUAUAAUAUAAAACAAGGUCUUUGCAGAUCACUGAAUACUGAAGAUCGAAUUGGAUCAGUUGUAAUGAGGAUUGGCCAAAAGGUAGGCCUCAACGGCCUU
rnacentral:lncRNA from 1 species